ACGACCGUCAAGCCUGGCUUGGUGUUUGGACGUCGGUCGUUUAGACCGCGUCCCAAAGACAGUGGCGGUGUCGAUUCAGUCCUCGGUGCAACGAGCUCCACGAGCACGCACCGCACGGGCUAUCGGCACCCGCCUAGACCCCUUAUUUUCUCA
rnacentral:misc_RNA from 1 species